UUUGGUUAGUUAAGACAGUGUAAUAUAGCUGUCAGGAGUAGACUUCAGGGAGUCAUCACUUACAUAUAACACCUAGUGCUCAUCACAAGGGCCCUCCUUCAUACC